rnacentral:rRNA from 1 species
AUUGAACGCUGGCGGCAGGCCUAACACAUGCAAGUCGAACGAGUGGCGGACGGGUGAGUAAUGUCUGGGAAACUGCCCGAUGGAGGGGGAUAACUACUGGAAACGGUAGCUAAUACCGCAUACCAUCGGAUGUGCCCAGAUGGGAUUAGCUUGUAGGUGAGGUAACGGCUCACCUAGGCGACGAUCCCUAGCUGGUCUGAGAGGAUGACCAGCCACACUGGAACUGAGAAACGGUCCAGACUCCUACGGGAGGCAGCAUUGGGGAAUAUUGGACAAUGGGCGCAAGCCGGAUGCAGCCAUGCCGCGUGUGUGAAGAAGGCCUUCGGGUUGUAAAGCACUUUCGGCGGGUAGGCGUUACCCGCAGAAGAAGCACCGGCUAACUCCGUGCCAGCAGCCGCGGUAAUAC